GACGAACGCUGGCGGCGUGCUUAACACAUGCAAGUCGAACGGAAAGGCCCUGCUUUUGUGGGGUGCUCGAGUGGCGAACGGGUGAGUAACACGUGAGUAACCUGCCCUUGACUUUGGGAUAACUUCAGGAAACUGGGGCUAAUACCGGAUAGGAGCUCCUGCUGCAUGGUGGGGGUUGGAAAGUUUCGGCGGUUGGGGAUGGACUCGCGGCUUAUCAGCUUGUUGGUGGGGUAGUGGCUUACCAAGGCUUUGACGGGUAGCCGGCCUGAGAGGGUGACCGGCCACAUUGGGGCUGAGAUACGGCCCAGACUCCUACGGGAGGCAGCAGUGGGGAGUAUUGCACAAUGGGCGGAAGCCUGAUGCAGCAACGCCGCGUGCGGGAUGACGGCCUUCGGGUUGUAAACCGCUUUCGCCUGUGACGAAGCGUGAGUGACGGUAAUGGGUAAAGAAGCACCGGCUAACUACGUG
rnacentral:rRNA from 1 species